GCCGGGCAUGGUGGUGCGUGCCUGUAAUCCCAGCUACUUGGGAGGCUGAGGCAGGAGAAUUGCUUGAACCUAGGAGGCAGAGGUUGCAUUGAGCUGAGAUUGCGCCAUUGCACUCCAGCCUGGGCAACAGAGUAAGACUCUGUCUCAA
rnacentral:SRP_RNA from 2 species